rnacentral:misc_RNA from 1 species
AUCUAUUUAGGAAUAUAAAUCCUAUACUAAAUGGGAACAUAAUAUUAACUUUCUAUAACGCUCCCCUUAAAAUGGAAAAUGGAAUCUCAUCAAUUCUAACAGCUACUAUUUUUCCUUUUUCAAAUUGAAUAGGAAUCUCAAUAAAAACUAGGAUGCAACUUCCAUGCAUAUCUAUUACUCAAAUAUGUGGUGUAGAAGGCACUUUUACCGGUUGUAUUUGGCAUAAUUGAGUUAAUAAAUCAACAUUGUUCCAUUAUUAUAGUUCAUGCAUGCUCCAUUUUAUUGUAUGCUUCAUACAUUAAUUCUUAUAUAGAUCACAUAGUUUAAACAAAACUUUUUAAAGCUUUAACUUCCAUGGUGUUCAAUUCAAUACUAAAAAUGUAUUUAUGCACCUGGAUUCAGAUUAAUAAUUACCAGACUACUUUGUCAUUACUAUAAAACCUCAAACAUUACAAAGAAUAUUUCAUUCAGACUUUCUCAAUAAAACCUCAGACAAAUUUCUCUAAAUAUUCAGUCUCAGUGUCUGCUUUCUAGUUAUGCUUGGUGAAGUAAUGAAGAAGCACCAGCCAAUAUUGCAAGAGGAUAAAUACUAAGUAGAGAGGAUCAUUCCUAGAAGUUUUCAAGACCAAAGGUCUAAUUUCUUAGUACUAUUCUACAUGGUCUUUUACUGUUCCCAUAGAAGAAAGGGAAUAGGACGGUAAAGAACUAAUGAAGAUCAUAAUUGCAAGGGCACUGAGUACCAACUAAGAAAGCCAGAAAGAGUUUGCAAACUAUAUUUCACAAGAUAACAAUUCACAUACACCG